rnacentral:snRNA from 1 species
GUUCUUACUUCAGCAGCACAUAUACUAAAAUUGGAAAAAUACAGAGAAGGUUAUCAUGGCCCCUACACAAGGAUGACAUGCAAAUUCAUGAGGCGUUCCAUAUUUUU